UUGUGCCUUGUGUUGUGUGUUUUGUUUGUAGUGUUUGUGGCGUGCCAGUGUGUGUAUGUGUUUGGUCUGGAGCUGUCCUGCCUGGCAGUUAGUGAUUAACAUGGCAGUGCAUGGGUGUACUAAUACACUGAUGGGACUGUGUUGGUGAAGACAUCCGGUCUGCCUCUGGGCAUGUACUGAAGGGCAGCUGGCACAGUCAUCUCUGGUGGUUGGCAGAUGUGGAUUUGGGAGAGUAUAUCUGCUUGUGAGCAACUUCUCACAUAGUGCUUGAACGGUGUGCUUGAGGAGGUCUGUCGAAUCUUGAAAGCUUACAGAUAUGGGGUUUUGAAACGUUUAUUUUUAUUUCUUUCCUGUCCCCAGUAGAGUGUAUACCGUAGUAGGAACUGCCCACAGGAAAGAGCUCCUUCUGGAACUGUUCAUCAGUCGGUAGGCAGCUCGGUGCCUGUCUUGAUCUACUUCUGAGGUGAAACACAGUGUCCAACACGGGACUUGAUGACCAGAGCUGCUUUUGGCAAGGGGUGUUGUAGCUGGCCUAAGAGAGCAGAUGGAAGCAUCUGCAUCAAGGGCAGGUGUGUCGCACAGGCUCAGAGGGGCCAAGCUGCACUCUGAAGAGCAGCACGAGAAGGGCGGGCUGGUUGUGAGCUGGAUUGGAGCAGAACAGCCAAGUAGCACGAGGUGAGUGCGAAGGGUAUCCAUCUUGCUUUGCAGGUGCCAUGG